AAACACUUGAGCAGGCUGUUGCUGGCCCUUGUCAUGGGGGUAUGUGCACGCUUGUCCUUUGUUAUUUUCUCCAACUUGUGCACAUUUUGUAGACCCUGGAGCUUUAUGGAUUUUUCAUUCGAGUCGGGACUGCUGUGCUCUCCUCGUGAGGUCGGCUUUCCCUUGCACCUCCAGGUCUAUGUCAUUUUUCACAACCUCUUUGAAACAUGUUUGGAAUGUUGGAUCUMCCUAUAGAAAUGAAAUAUACAACUUUCAGCAACGGAUCUCUUGGCUCUCGCAUCGAUGAAGAACGCAGCGAAAUGCGAUAAGUAAUGUGAAUUGCAGAAUUCAGUGAAUCAUCGAAUCUUUGAACGCAUCUUGCGCUCCUUGGUAUUCCGAGGAGCAUGCCUGUUUGAGUGUCAUUUAACUUCUCAACCACAUCAGAGAUGUGGCUUGGACGUGGGGGUUGUUUGCAGGCUUUUUGUUCUACUGAAGGUCGGCUCCCCUGAAAUGUAUUAGUGGUAUCUGGGCUACUGCUAUAGGUGUGAUAAAUUAUCUAUGCCUUUGGUAUGCUGCA
rnacentral:rRNA from 1 species